rnacentral:ncRNA from 2 species
AUUGAAUAUCAGCUUCGAGGUUUUCCGGCUACGGGCAACUAUGCCGGUUAAUCCUGAGUGUUGAACUCACAGGGUAGCGGCGGAAACGCUGCUGCCUCUUAUGACACAGGAUUUUGAGUCCUGCGAGGAAAGAAGCCUGAAAAUUACCUGU